rnacentral:rRNA from 3 species
AAAUUGAAGAGUUUGAUCAUGGCUCAGAUUGAACGCUGGCGGCAGGCCUAACACAUGCAAGUCGAACGGUAACAGGAAGCAGCUUGCUGCUUCGCUGACGAGUGGCGGACGGGUGAGUAAUGUCUGGGAAACUGCCUGAUGGAGGGGGAUAACUACUGGAAACGGUGGCUAAUACCGCAUAACGUCGCAAGACCAAAGAGGGGGACCUUCGGGCCUCUUGCCAUCAGAUGUGCCCAGAUGGGAUUAGCUUGUUGGUGAGGUAACGGCUCACCAAGGCGACGAUCCCUAGCUGGUCUGAGAGGAUGACCAGCCACACUGGAACUGAGACACGGUCCAGACUCCUACGGGAGGCAGCAGUGGGGAA